rnacentral:rRNA from 1 species
ACCCCGGCGAGGGGAGUGAAAAAGAACCUGAAACCGUGUACGUACAAGCAGUGGGAGCACAGGUUUACCUGUGUGACUGCGUACCUUUUGUAUAAUGGGUCAGCGACUUAUAUUCUGUAGCAAGGUUAACCGUAUAGGGGAGCCGGAGGGAAACCGAGUCUUAAUUGGGCGUUAAGUUGCAGGGUAUAGACCCGAAACCCGGUGAUCUAGCCAUGGGCAGGUUGAAGGUUGGGUAACACUAACUGGAGGACCGAACCGACUAAUGUUGAAAAAUUAGCGGAUGACCUGUGGCUGGGGGUGAAAGGCCAAUCAAACCGGGAGAUAGCUGGUUCUCCCCGAAAGCUAUUUAGGUAGCGCCUCGUGAAUUCAUCUCCGGGGGUAGAGCACUGUUUCGGCUAGGGGGCCAUCCCGGCUUACCAACCCGAUGCAAACUGCGAAUACCGGAGAAUGUUAUCACGGGAGACACACGGCGGGUGCUAACGUCCGUCGUGAAGAGGGAAACAACCCAGACCGCCAGCUAAGGUCCCAAAGUCAUGGUUAAGUGGGAAACGAUGUGGGAAGGCCCAGACAGCCAGGAUGUUGGCUUAGAAGCAGCCAUCAUUUAAAGAAAGCGUAAUAGCUCACUGGUCGAGUCGGCCUGCGCGGAAGAUGUAACGGGGCUAAACCAUGCACCGAAGCUGCGGCAGCGAACGUAUCACCCAAGACAACUUUACGGAGUUGACGAUUGACGGAGCGAAGCGACGUCAAAGCGUUCAUUAAAGUCGAGUUGGCUUAGGGAUACGUUCGUUGGGUAGGGGAGCGUUCUGUAAGCCUGUGAAGGUGUGUCGUGAGGCAUGCUGGAGGUAUCAGAAGUGCGAAUGCUGACAUAAGUAACGAUAAAGCGGGUGAAAAGCC